UCCUGAUCAGGUGAGAUCAGAAAGCUAACGUACCUUGCUCGAAUCCUCCGAAUGCAAAUCGCGGCGAAAAUUUGUGGAAAUCUCAAAUUCACGGUUCAACUUAACAGCUCCUCAUCGCCAAUUCAUCCGUAUUCGUGUGUUGUACGGAGGCGGAGUCGGAUUGGUGCACGUCGCGUAGAGAUGAAGAAUUUGAUUCCAUCUUCUGUUUUAAUCUUCUGUUGGACGAUUUGUGUGGCGAAGAAGAUGAAAAUACUGAAUCGCGACCGAACAGGUGUGGAUUACCGGAGAUUCGAGAUUCUGCGGAAAGGGAAGAGGAUGAUCUGAGCUUCGUGAAUGAUGAAGGAUUGAUUCUCUCAGUAUGGUUUCAUGUGAGGGAUUCGGAGAAAGUCGGAAUGGUGAUGGUUCUGGAGGAUUGAAGGUGAGGUUGCGGGAGAGAGAAAGAGAAAAGAAGUUCUGGAGGAAAUUGGAGAGAGGGAAGAAGAAGAUUCUAGAAAAAUUGGCGAGAGCAUUCCCAAGCUUGGAUUCGUCGGCUUAUGCUUGUGUUCACAUUUGUGUAUUGUAACUGCGUGAAGUUGUUUUGAAGCAUGGCUUAUUGUUUCUUGCAGCAGCGUUUGGAAGUGUGGUUUGGUGCAGUUCGCGUUUGGUACUCAGUAGCAGCUAAUGCCAUGUACUUCUACUGCAUUUUCAAUGUUUCGCAACUUAUGGUAGCUUUGGUGAAGUCAUGGCUUGCGUUUGGAGUUUGGAACACCUUUUAUAGCUGGAUUUAAAUUUGCAUUUGGCUGCGUGUUCGCGUUUAACUUUUCUUGGAGUCGUUUUUGGCCUAUGCAACAUUCCGUUUUAUUUGCCGCUUUUUGGAUUGUGUUUGUACGCCGUUUGCACGUUUGGAUCAUGGCUGCAGCGUUUAGAAAGCUGAGUUUUGUUGUACCUUAGCAGCUUGCGUUGUACUUGGCCUUGUUGUAGCAGGCUUAUACUUUUUCGCGCGGUAGCUGGUGCAUUUGGAUGCACUUUCUGUUUUUUCACUUUUCACGCUUGUAUUUCAAAUUACUCCACCUGCGUUUCACCACUGUACGGAUAAUACAUGAAAACAAGAUUUGAAUUGGCAUUUGGACUUGGAACAUGGUUUUUUUCUAAUGGAUUGUUUGGUUUAAAACUGGAUAUCUAAAUGGAUGAUUUGGAUGUGGUUAAUGAAUGAAUUAUCAAUGGAAUCUGGUUUGGUUUUGGAUUAGA